rnacentral:tRNA from 1 species
GCCGAUAUAGCUCAGUUGGUAGAGCAAUUCCUUCGUAAGGAAGAGGUCGUCGGUUCGAUUCCGACUAUCGGCU